CCUGAAGCUCUGCUCCAUGUCUACCACAGAUGGGAUAAGCUCAUAAAAUCCGAUAGGACCUGAGGUCUGGCUUUCAUGCCAGGCUCUUGUUCCACAACAAAGGUGUUUCCAGUUCAGGAAUCCAGGCCGGAAGUCCCAGACAGCCCCUGAGACGAACAGAUGACUAGGCAACCCCUCUUUCCUCUGAUGGGGCCACUGGGUGGGAGAGCUCCUCCCAGCUCAGGAGUCUUCUGCCUGCUCUGUUAGGAUAUCUUGUCGCUUUUGAGGGGUUCAUUUUCCUGAAGACCUGGCAGGGUCAUGGGACAGGGGCAUUUUAUUGUAGUUCCUGGUUUCUCUUUUCAAGUCCC